UCCUAGCCCUGAUGGAAGCGGCAUCCUUUUUAUGGCUUCUUUAGCCAUGAAAAGAUACAGCAAACAGCAGGAAAUGGC
rnacentral:sRNA from 1 species